rnacentral:misc_RNA from 1 species
UCCGGGUUGGACCCGGCGGUCCCGCCAGACAUGGUAACUGGCAGCGAGGGUUGCGCUCGUUGCGGGACUUAACCCAACACCUCACGGCACGAGCUGACGACAGCCAUGCAGCAUCUGUGCACGCUCCCUUGCAGGUCAUCACCCUUUCAGGCUUUUACCACGUGCAUGUCUAGCCCAGGUAAGGUUCUUCGCGUUGCGUCGAAUUAAACCACAUGCUCCACCGCUUGUGCGGGCCCCCAUCAAUUCCUUUGAGUUUUAGCCUUGCGGCCGUACUCCCCAGGCGGGGUGCUUAAUGCGUUAGCUACGGCACGGAUCCCGUGGAAGGAAACCCACUAACGGCUGGCAUUCAUCGUUUACGGCGUGGACUAC